UGGAUAUUUCUGGGGGAAUAAGUACAUGAGUGCUCGCAGCUGUGUACAAAACAUAGUACAGCCAAAGUCUGUUGUGAGUGCAUAUUACACACCCAAAAUUCUGUUCCAGACAGUGUUGGGGCUGCAUUUUAAGAGAUCCUUUUAGUUCCUAGGUCUCUUAAUGCUAAUAAAAAUUCCUGCUGUUGCAGGAUUAGUCAAUGGCAAAACCCAUCUGGAAGAUGAUUUCUUUCUCCCACUGAAACUGUGGGUGGAGGUCUGGGUUUGCAUCCUUACUCUCUUAACUAUUCUUUACUCUUGGCCAGAGCAGAAUUUGUUGGGAUUGUGAUCCUGAGCCUGUUUAAAUAACCAUUUAAUAAGUGUUCUGGUUUUCUCAUUAUAGGAACAAAUUUCAGAUCUGAGAUUUGGGUGCCUCCAUAGCUCUUUCCUAGGCUCUACAUUAUUAUAUUAGCUUGUGGCUCUAGUCCUGAAAAGAGUGUAAUUUCAUCCUCGCAUUUCAAAAGCUACAUCAAACUGAUCUGCUGGGAGCCAUCACAGACAAAUCCACAAUAAAAGAAACACCGCGUGGAUCAGCAGCAGACAUCAGAAACCUUCCCAGAGGAGAGGUUGCUGUUCUCCACCACCACGCUCCCAGGCAGCAGCCACAUACCAGAGAGGAAAAUCACACGCCAGUGGUGCUUGGUGGUCAAAGUAAGUUUUUUAUCACUUUUUAAUUCAUUUAGCCCUUGAAUCCCUUCAUUCAGGCUUGCCCAUGGGCCUGCACCUCCAGUCUUUUCUCACAUACACUGGCUUGUGGAAAGAGGUAACAAUUUUGCCUUUA